AGUUGAGAUUCAGACCUUGACAGUUGUAACCGAUAGACUGGGCUGGGGCAACGCUGAUGAAAGGCAAAUUCCUGAGAGAAAAAUCACCCAGACUUUCUAGAAGUUGUUAUGAGUGGACCUGACUACCUAGAGAGAGUAAUACAGAAGCUCCGUGCCGAUCACAGCUACCUCAUUACCAUGUUCCUCCAAGAUGGCCGCCCCUGAGGAGAAUCAUCAACUGGGCUUUACGGAAGAGAGAAAUCCAAACGACCAUCAGCAACAAAUGAAAGACUGAAGUUGAAAGGAAAUCCAUAAUUUUUGAAUGCUGGCCGAGGUCUGUGACCUCUGACUGAAUGGUUUCCAAGCUCCGAAUUCCUAGGUGAUGUUUUCAUUUGUUCACACUUGCUGAAGAAGGGAAAGGCUCUCUGAUUUACGUGUAAGCAAAACAAUCUAAACAGUAGGAUAAAAUCAUGUUGGAAUGGAGUUCUGUGUGGAUGCUCCUUUGAACCAAAUCAGUUCCACAACUGACCCUGUCAGGGACAUAUAAAUUUAGCAUUUUGGUGUGGAUACAGAAGACGAGAUUAACACAGAUCAAGUAACAUGGAAAUAAAAAAGGAGACAAUGCUGGAUGAUACAGGGGCAGCCAACAAGAGGAGAAAACCCAAGCAUUGGCAAAUGCCUCAUUAUCCAAAGAACACUGAGGUGUGGAGCAAAACUGUGUUGAAUGAACUGUAGAUGGAAAUUCUCUCCUUCCCACCGAGGAGCCGCUGCAGGUUGCAGACUCCCAGAAUGCCACACUGAGAAGAGGAGGGCUAAAAUUCUAGAGCAGAAUCCCUGGGGCAGCCCCUGCUGAAGAAGGGUGCAUCUGUUGAGAAUCUCAUCACCGCCCCCACCCCGCCCAGCCUUCAAUUUAGAGGAAUUUCUAGUUCACGCAGAAUGAAGACAAGAUCACAUAAGUGAGGACGACGCCCCAUUUACAAGUGUGAUUUGGAAGACUGAAGUGGAAACCUUGGGAAGGGGCCUCAGAGUAUGUCAGCUGGGGUCAGACGGGAACAGGAGUCUGGCUCAACACACAUUUAUUGCACUCCUGUUUCAUGCCAAGAAAUGUACCAAAAUCUGGGACUGUGUAACACAGCAAAGGAAAAGACUCAUCUCCAGGAAGCCCCCUUGUCUAGGAAGAGAAAUUGAAUAUCAGCAUAAGGUGGUGAAAAGCUGUGAAGGAGAUGAGUGCCAGGAGUCCAUGGAGGAAGGAUUCUAGCCUGGACAGGUGAGGAAUGGCUUUCUGGAAGAAGCAGAUGCCCCAGCUGAACUUUAAAAUGCCCAUGUGAAAUGAACUGUCUGUAUCUUCAAUCAGCAAAUGGAGUAGGUGGCCACUGUUUAAUUCUGGAAUGGGGAAGUGUAAAGGUGUGGUGUGUGUGUUUACCCCUACUUAGGGAUUCAAAACAGACAGUAAAGAACAAAAGUCUAGCCCUUUGAGCAUUCUCCAUGGGACAUUUGAGGUCUAGCUGGCCCCAGAGAAAGAGAGACAGAAGCAAGGUCAUAUCCAUUUGAGAAAAUCAAAGUGUCUGCUCCAAUUGAGUCUGGUGUCCUUAUUCCUGGAAUAGCCAUCCCUACUGCUCUGGUGCUGAUUUACCUCCGGCAGUUCAGUGCUUCCUGGAAGGUGAUUGUGGUGAAUAGUCAUGAGAAUCUGGGAACUGGCUCCUGCUCUGUCUAUCUUGGAGAUGCAUCUUUUGUGAGAAGCCAGGGCAAGAAUAGGGAGGCUUAGGCAAUGGGAAGUUUCUGAGUAGAUAAAGCAGAUGGCAGAGCAAAGGGACAGAGCCUGGCGAGAGGCUACUCCCUGUAGCAACCUGCCUAAGAGUGAGAGGAAAGCAAGGCAUGGCUAUGAGCACGUGUAGUCUCAGCUACUUGGGAAGCUGAGGCUGGGGGAUCACUUGAGCCCAGGAGUUCAAGACCAGCCUAGGCAACAUAGUGAGACCAUGUCUCUUUAAAAAAAAAAAAAAAAAGAAAAAGGGAGAGAGAGAAAAAAAGGUGACAAUUCCCCCAACACACAUAAAGUACAUAAGAGUUAACAAGGACACAGUGGCAGAAAAUAGUCAGAACUGAGCAAGCAUCAGUGAGGAAAUGUUUUCCUGAGGAGACUUGAGAAGUCUCAAAAAUGAAAAGAAAGAGUAUUUGGUGUAGAAAGAAUGGCAUGAGAUGUGAAAGCUCAUUCAUCCAUUUAUUCCAGGUAUAUCUUUUUCUUCAGUACUUUGGGAGGCAAUAGGUGUAAUAGCAAGAACAUUCAGGUUAGUGGGUUAGUGUGAGUCUGCCAUAUGUAUGAGGGUUGAAUACACAUUAGGUGUGGUGACUGUCAUAUGGGAGGCACUGCAAGGUGAAGGAGACAUGUCCUCACAUUUGGUCUUUGGGAAGCGAAGCAGGCAGAAACCCAAGUGCAAAGUGGCCAUUUGUUUUCCUAAUGCUAGAUAAGUACCUGAUGUGUUGGAAGGGUGGAGUAGAACUAGAAACUCCUGGAAGUUCUUUUAAGAACGAAUGCAGGACCUCAUCAGCCCGAGUCUUUAAAUAAGUCACACAUUUUUGGUCACCACAUUCUGGAAGGGGGACAAAAAGAUCUGUCACAGACAAAAUUUGGAGAUAUUUAAGGCUUUGUUGACUUUGGCAAAUGCUUGAUUAUAGUUCUGUGGUCUGUUUGUUUUCUAGAGUCUCCAUGAAUUGCAAGGGAAAACAAGUGGUACACUGGUAUUUCUAUUUGAUAACCUGUUCUCUUUGGAAUUCCGGUUAGAAAUCAAAGGCUUACUUGAGUUUUAAUGCUUUCGGGACUUCAAAUGCUUUUCUAUCUUCCUAAUAAUAUAUUAACAUUUUCUGAAGACAACAUAUAUGUGGAAAACAACAUUAUUUACUCAAAUAAUUUUUUUUGAAAAAUGGACCAAAAAAAAAGAAAAA
rnacentral:lncRNA from 1 species